UACGAAGGUCCCGAGCGUUGUUCGGAAUCACUGGGCGUAAAGGGAGCGUAGGCGGCGCGGUAAGUCAGAUGUGAAAUCCCGGGGCUCAACCCCGGAACUGCAUCCGAUACUGCCGUGCUAGAGUAAUGGAGGGGUAGCUGGAAUUCUCGGUGUAGCAGUGAAAUGCGUAGAUAUCGAGAGGAACACUCGUGGCGAAAGCGAGCUACUGGACAUUUACUGACGCUGAGGCUCGAAGGCUAGGGGAGCGAAAGGG
rnacentral:rRNA from 1 species